rnacentral:rRNA from 1 species
AAUCAUGGCUCAGGAUAAACGCUGGCGGCGCACAUAAGACAUGCAAGUCGAACGGGAAGUCGUUGUAAUGAAAUAGAAACGGACAGAGAACUUGUUCGAAGAAAGUGGAAGUAGACUUACAACAAUGGCUUUAGUGGCGGACUGGUGAGUAACGCGUAAGGAACCUGCCUUCUAGAGGGGAAUAACAAUGAGAAAUCAUUGCUAAUACCGCAUAUGCCGAGAGAAAUCACAUGGUACAAUCGGGAAAAG